GGACCCAGAUCAGUGGGGCUUUGCUGCUGAGCUGAGCUGUCUUUUGCAAAGGACAGCAUACAUAUAGAAAAACCAGGAUUGGAGACCAAAGAGAGGAUCCUAACAAGGCAAUGCAUAAAGGAGAAGAUAUCUCCUCUUGUAGCGUCACUGCGGAUAAGGAGCAGAGAAGAAACCCUCUGAGUGUGCAGAAAUCCCAGGGCAGGGUGCCGGUCUGCGCCGCUAAAACGAUGAAGUGUUGAAAUAGUAACAGGCAUUGCAGUCUUAAAGCUGCGUCUGGCCGGACAGGAGUCUACAGAGCGACAGGUUUAACCUGCAGCACCAGUUGCUUGUGCCUCUGUUCCUACGUCC